GGGGGAGUGUCCUCUGGCAAGCACGCCAUGUCGGCUCUGCUUAGCGGAAACACGAUGUAUAGAGUCUGACACCUACCCAGUGCUGGAAGGUCGAAAGGAGAAGUGUGACAAGAUUUGAAUGGAAGCUCAUGUAAACGCGACAGUAACUCUAACUAUCCUAAGGUAGUGAAACUCCUUAUUGCACAAGUAGCGACCUGCACGAAUGGUGUAACGACUACCCC
rnacentral:ncRNA from 1 species